UACGGAGGGGGCUAGCGUUGUUCGGAAUUACUGGGCGUAAAGCGCACGUAGGCGGCUGUGUAAGUUAGAGGUGAAAGCCCGGGGCUCAACCCCGGAAUAGCCUUUAAGACUGCAUCGCUUGAACGUCGGAGAGGUGAGUGGAAUUCCGAGUGUAGAGGUGAAAUUCGUAGAUAUUCGGAAGAACACCAGUGGCGAAGGCGGCUCACUGGACGACUGUUGACGCUGAGGUGCGAAAGCGUGGGGAGCAAACAGG
rnacentral:rRNA from 1 species